rnacentral:tRNA from 1 species
GCGUGAUUGAUGUAGUGGUAACAUUCCUCCCUUCCAAGGAGAUAUCCUCGGUUCGAAUCCGUGAUCACGCU